rnacentral:rRNA from 1 species
GUAGGGAAUAUUGCACAAUGGGCGAAAGCCUGAUGCAGCAACGCCGCGUGCGCGAUGACGGCCUUCGGGUUGUAAAGCGCUUUUCGGGGAGAUGAGGAAGGACAGUAUCCCCGGAAUAAGGCUCGGCUAACUACGUGCCAGCAGCCGCGGUAACACGUAGGAGCCAAGCGUUAUCCGAAUUUACUGGGCGUAAAGCGCGUGUAGGCGGCAUACUAAGUUGGAUGUGAAAGCUCCUGGCUCAACUGGGAGAGGACGUUCAAAACUAGUAAGCUAGAGGGCGACAGAGGGAGGUGGAAUUCCCGGUGUAGUGGUGAAAUGCGUAGAUAUCGGGAGGAACACCAGUGGCGAAGGCGGCCUCCUGGGUCGCACCUGACGCUCAGACGCGAAAGCUAGGGUAGCAAACGGGAUUAGAAACCCUAGUAGUCC